GGAGGGGGGGCAAGCGUUAUUCGGAUUUACUGGGCGUAAAGCGCACGUAGGUGGCAUGGGUAAGUCAAAGGGUGAAAGCCCUCGGCUCAACCGAGGAAUUGCCUUUGAAACUGCUUUGCUUGAGUCCGGGAGGGGGGAGCGGAAUUCCCAGUGUAGCGGUGAAAUGCGUAGAUACUGGGAGGAACACCGGUGGCGAAGGCGGCUCCCUGGACCGGUACUGACACUGAGGUGCGAAAGCGUGGGUAGCAAACAGGAUUAGAUACCCUGGUAGUCCACGCCGUAAACGAUGGGCACUAGGUGCAGCGGGUGUCGACCCCUGCUGUGCCGUAGUUAACGCAUUAAGUGCCCCGCCUGGGGAGUACGGUCGCAAAGGCUG
rnacentral:rRNA from 1 species